GUAACACGUAGUCAACCUGCCCUGGAGACAUGGACAACCCCGGGAAACUGGGAUUAAUCCGUGAUAGGUCAUCCCAUCUGGAAGGAGGGAUGGCUUAAAGGGGCGCGCGGGCUUCUUCUGCGCGUCCGCUCCAGGAUGGGACUGCGUCCGAUCAGGCUGUUGGCGGGGUAAUGGCCCACCAAACCUGUAACCGGUACGGGCCUUGAGAGAGGUGGCCCGGAGAUGGACACUGAGAGAAGGGUCCAGGUCCUACGGGGCGCAGCAGGCGCGAAACCUUCGCAAUGCGCGAAAGCGUGACGAGGUUAAUCCGAGUGGCCUCCGCUGAGGAGGCCUUUUGUCAGCUGUAAAUAGGCGGGCGAAUAAGGGGAGGGCAAGCCUGGUGUCAGCCGCCGCGGUAAUACCAGCUCCUCGAGUGGUCGGGGCGAUUAUUGGGCCUAAAGCAUCCGUAGCCGGUUCCGUAGGUCCUCUGUUAAAUCCACCCGCUCAACGGGUGACCUGCAGAGGAUACCGCGGGACU
rnacentral:rRNA from 1 species